UCGAGAAUCUUUUGCAAUGGGCGAAAGCCUGACAAAGCGACGCUGUGUGAGCGACGAAGGCCUUUGGGUUGUAAAGCUCUUUCGCUAGGGAACAAGGGAGAGAAACUAAUAUUUUCUUGACUUGAGGGUACCUGGUAAAGAAGCACCGGCUAACUCCGUGCCAGCAGCUGCGGUAAUACGGAGGGUGCAAGCAUUAAUCGGAAUUACUGGGCGUAAAGGGUGCGUAGGCGGGCAAACAAGUCAGAUGUGAAAUUCCGGUACUCAAUAUCGGAGCUGCAUUUGAAACUAUUUGUCUUGAGGGCAGGCGGAGAGAAUGGAAUUCCAUGUGUAGCGGUGAAAUGCGUAGAUAUAUGGAAGAACACCUGUGGCGAAAGCGGUUCUCUAGCUUGUUUCUGACGCUGAGGCACGAAAGCAUGGGUAGCAAACAGG
rnacentral:rRNA from 1 species